rnacentral:misc_RNA from 1 species
AGAAGAGCUAAACCACAAAUGAAAAGAAAACAAAAGAGCCGCAGCCAGCAAACAAUACAUCGUGGGAGAGCCCCAAAGUCUCCAGCACAGGAGAGACCAACCUUUGCCACGGAGUCAGCAGCUCCAGUAGCAUCUCUGAGAACAUGGGUGAUCUUGACCAGUGGCAGAGCUUAUGAACAGCGGGCGAUGGAUUUGGAGAUUGCAGCGAGACACCAGGGAACAGAGUCUAAAUGCAGCGGGCCAUAGUUUUUUUUUUUUUUU